rnacentral:rRNA from 1 species
GACGGAGGGUGCUAGCGUUGUUCGGAAUUACUGGGCGUAAAGGGCGCGUAGGCGGCCUGGUCAGUCGGGUGUGAAAGCCCGGGGCUCAACCCCGGAACGGCACCCGAGACGGCCAGGCUGGAGACCGGGAGAGGAGACUGGAAUUUACGGUGUAGCGGUGAAAUGCGUAGAUAUCGAUAAGGAAGACCAGUGGCGAAGGCGGCUACCUGGACAAUUGCUGACGCUCAGGCACGAAAGCGUGGGGAGCAAAAGGG